rnacentral:lncRNA from 1 species
CCAUAAAUUGGCGAUCAAAUAAUGAAAUUUAUCAGUGAUGGGGUAAAAAGUUAUCUUUCUAAAUUUGGAUAUGAAAGAUCAUGAGAAUUUUUCAAUUCAGUAUUUGAUCCUGGGUAGGUGAGAGAGUUGAUUGGUCUGGUUGAAGAUGUUAAACUUAGCACUGGUUGAGAGGCAAUCCAAUAUUUUAUUUUUCAGUUAUCC